rnacentral:rRNA from 1 species
GGGCGCACGGUGGAUGCCUUGACACUAGGAGUCGAUGAAGGACGGGACUAACGCCGAUAUGCUUCGGGGAGCUGUAAGUAAGCUUUGAUCCGAAGAUUUCCGAAUGGGGAAACCCACCAUACGUAAUGGUAUGGUAUCCCUAUCUGAAUACAUAGGGUAAGGAAGACAGACCCAGGGAACUGAAACAUCUAAGUACCUGGAGGAAGAGAAAGCAAAUGCGAUUUCCUGAGUAGCGGCGAGCGAAACGGAACAUAGCCCAAACCAACAGGCUUGCCUCUUGGGGUUGUAGGACAUUCUAUACGGAGUUACAAAGGAACGAGGUAGACGAAGCGACCUGGAAAGGUCCGUCGUAGAGGGUAACAACCCCGUAGUCGAAACUUCGUUCUCUCUUGAAUGUAUCCUGAGUACGGCGGAACACGUGAAAUUCCGUCGGAAUCUGGGAGGACCAUCUCCCAAGGCUAAAUACUCCCUAGUGAUCGAUAGUGAACCAGUACCGUGAGGGAAAGGUGAAAAGCACCCCGGAAGGGGAGUGAAAGAGAUCCUGAAACCGUGUGCCUACAAAUAGUCAGAGCCCGUUAACGGGUGAUGGCGUGCCUUUUGUAGAAUGAACCGGCGAGUUACGAUCCCGUGCGAGGUUAAGCUGAAGAGGCGGAGCCGCAGCGAAAGCGAGUCUGAAUAGGGCGUUUAGUACGUGGUCGUAGACCCGAAACCAGGUGAUCUACCCAUGUCCAGGGUGAAGUUCAGGUAACACUGAAUGGAGGCCCGAACCCACGCACGUUGAAAAGUGCGGGGAUGAGGUGUGGGUAGCGGAGAAAUUCCAAUCGAACCUGGAGAUAGCUGGUUCUCCCCGAAAUAGCUUUAGGGCUAGCCUUAAGUGUAAGAGUCUUGGAGGUAGAGCACUGAUUGGACUAGGGGUCCUCAUCGGAUUACCGAAUUCAGUCAAACUCCGAAUGCCAAUGACUUAUCCUUAGGAGUCAGACUGCGAGUGAUAAGAUCCGUAGUCAAAAGGGAAACAGCCCAGACCGCCAGCUAAGGUCCCAAAGUGUGUAUUAAGUGGAAAAGGAUGUGGAGUUGCUUAGACAACUAGGAUGUUGGCUUAGAAGCAGCCACCAUUUAAAGAGUGCGUAAUAGCUCACUAGUCGAGUGACUCUGCGCCGAAAAUGUACCGGGGCUAAAUACACCACCGAAGCUGCGGAUUGAUACCAAUGGUAUCAGUGGUAGGGGAGCGUUCUAAGGACAGUGAAGUCAGACCGGAAGGACUGGUGGAGUGCUUAGAAGUGAGAAUGCCGGUAUGAGUAGCGAAAGACGGGUGAGAAUCCCGUCCACCGAAUGCCUAAGGUUUCCUGAGGAAGGCUCGUCCGCUCAGGGUUAGUCAGGACCUAAGCCGAGGCCGACAGGCGUAGGCGAUGGACAACAGGUUGAUAUUCCUGUACCACCUCUUUAUCGUUUGAGCAAUGGAGGGACGCAGAAGGAUAGAAGAAGCGUGCGAUUGGUUGUGCACGUCCAAGCAGUUAGGCUGAUAAGUAGGCAAAUCCGCUUAUCGUGAAGGCUGAGCUGUGAUGGGGAAGCUCCUUAUGGAGCGAAGUCUUUGAUUCCCCGCUGCCAAGAAAAGCUUCUAGCGAGAUAAAAGGUGCCUGUACCGCAAACCGACACAGGUAGGCGAGGAGAGAAUCCUAAGGUGUGCGAGAGAACUCUGGUUAAGGAACUCGGCAAAAUGACCCCGUAACUUCGGGAGAAGGGGUGCUUUCUUAACGGAAAGCCGCAGUGAAUAGGCCCAAGCGACUGUUUAGCAAAAACACAGCUCUCUGCGAAGCCGUAAGGCGAAGUAUAGGGGGUGACACCUGCCCGGUGCUGGAAGGUUAAGGAGAGGGGUUAGCGUAAGCGAAGCUCUGAACUGAAGCCCCAGUAAACGGCGGCCGUAACUAUAACGGUCCUAAGGUAGCGAAAUUCCUUGUCGGGUAAGUUCCGACCCGCACGAAAGGUGUAACGAUUUGGGCACUGUCUCAACCAGAGACUCGGUGAAAUUAUAGUACCUGUGAAGAUGCAGGUUACCCGCGACAGGACGGAAAGACCCCGUGGAGCUUUACUGUAGCCUGAUAUUGAAUUUUGGUACAGUUUGUACAGGAUAGGCGGGAGCCUUUGAAACCGGAGCGCUAGCUUCGGUGGAGGCGCUGGUGGGAUACCGCCCUGACUGUAUUGAAAUUCUAACCUACGGGUCUUAUCGACCCGGGAGACAGUGUCAGGUGGGCAGUUUGACUGGGGCGGUCGCCUCCUAAAGUGUAACGGAGGCGCCCAAAGGUUCCCUCAGAAUGGUUGGAAAUCAUUCGUAGAGUGCAAAGGCAUAAGGGAGCUUGACUGCGAGACCUACAAGUCGAGCAGGGACGAAAGUCGGGCUUAGUGAUCCGGUGGUUCCGCAUGGAAGGGCCAUCGCUCAACGGAUAAAAGCUACCCCGGGGAUAACAGGCUUAUCUCCCCCAAGAGUCCACAUCGACGGGGAGGUUUGGCACCUCGAUGUCGGCUCAUCGCAUCCUGGGGCUGUAGUCGGUCCCAAGGGUUGGGCUGUUCGCCCAUUAAAGCGGUACGCGAGCUGGGUUCAGAACGUCGUGAGACAGUUCGGUCCCUAUCCGUCGUGGGCGUAGGAAAUUUGAGAGGAGCUGUCCUUAGUACGAGAGGACCGGGAUGGACGCACCGCUGGUGUACCAGUUGUUCUGCCAAGGGCAUAGCUGGGUAGCUAUGUGCGGAAAGGAUAAGUGCUGAAAGCAUCUAAGCAUGAAGCCCCCCUCAAGAUGAGAUUUCCCAUAGCGUAAGCUAGUAAGAUCCCUGAAAGAUGAUCAGGUUGAUAGGUUCGAGGUGGAAGCAUGGUGACAUGUGGAGCUGACGAAUACUAAUAGAUCGAGGACUUAACCAUAUA